GACCAGUUAGUUUAUUUAUAGAACACAUGUCUUCAAAACAUGGGGAGGCAUUUGUGUGCCACAGGUUG
rnacentral:tRNA from 1 species